rnacentral:rRNA from 1 species
CAGCAGUGAGGAAUAUUGGUCAAUGGCCUAACGGCUGAACUGGCAACUUGCAGCAGUGAGGAAUAUUGGUCAAUGGCCUAACGGCUGAACUGGCAACUUGGAGAAGUGGCAAGUCUUCCAGUAUGGGGAGCAAAACAGCUAUGGGUCAAGGAGAAGUGGCAAGUCUUCCAGUAUGGGGAGCAAAACAGCUAUGGGUCAAGUCCGAUAUCUUUAGGAGAAGUCUUAUUGUGAGGGCGAGUUAUCCGAUAUCUUUAGGAGAAGUCUUAUUGUGAGGGCGAGUUAUAUAACACCAUAGGACUGGCCGUCCCAUAUGAAAAGAUUAUAUUAGAAUUUAUAACACCAUAGGACUGGCCGUCCCAUAUGAAAAGAUUAUAUUAGAAUUGAAUGAAGCUUUGUUUAUAUAUUGAUAAUGACAGUAUAUAUAUCGUGUCUGAAUGAAGCUUUGUUUAUAUAUUGAUAAUGACAGUAUAUAUAUCGUGUCUUGACUAAUUGCGUGCCAGCAGUCGCGGUAAUACGUAAGAGACUAGUGUUAUGACUAAUUGCGUGCCAGCAGUCGCGGUAAUACGUAAGAGACUAGUGUUAUUCAUCUUAAUUAGGUUUAAAGGGUACCCAGACGGUCAAUAUAGCUUAUAUUCAUCUUAAUUAGGUUUAAAGGGUACCCAGACGGUCAAUAUAGCUUAUAAAAUGUUAGUACUUGACUAGAGUUUUAUGUAAGAGGGCAGUACUUGAGGAAAAUGUUAGUACUUGACUAGAGUUUUAUGUAAGAGGGCAGUACUUGAGGAGGAGAGAUGAAAUUUCGUGAUACCAAAGGGACUCUGUAAAGGCGAAGGCAGGAGAGAUGAAAUUUCGUGAUACCAAAGGGACUCUGUAAAGGCGAAGGCAGCCCUCUAUGUAAAAACUGACGUUGAAGGACGAAGGCACAGAGAACAAACGCCCUCUAUGUAAAAACUGACGUUGAAGGACGAAGGCACAGAGAACAAACAGGAUUAGAUACCCAAGUAGUCUUUGCAGUAAAUGAUGAAUGCCAUAGGUAGGAUUAGAUACCCAAGUAGUCUUUGCAGUAAAUGAUGAAUGCCAUAGGUUAGAUUGAUCAAUUAUGGUCUAGGGUUAGUCUAGCAAACUAAUGCCCUGUAGAUUGAUCAAUUAUGGUCUAGGGUUAGUCUAGCAAACUAAUGCCCUGUGCUAUAAUUCAAAAUAUCUGGUCUAUAAAUGAAAGUGUAAGCAUUUCACUGAUAUAAUUCAAAAUAUCUGGUCUAUAAAUGAAAGUGUAAGCAUUUCACCUCAAGAGUAAUGUGGCAACGCAGGAACUGAAAUCACUAGACCGUUUCUGCUCAAGAGUAAUGUGGCAACGCAGGAACUGAAAUCACUAGACCGUUUCUGACACCAGUAGUGAAGUAUGUUAUUUAAUUCGAUGAUCCACACCAGUAGUGAAGUAUGUUAUUUAAUUCGAUGAUCC